rnacentral:rRNA from 1 species
GACGAACGCUGGCGGCGUGCCUAACACAUGCAAGUCGAACGGAAAGGCCCUGCCUUGGGGGGCUGCUCGAGUGGCGAAGGGGGGAGCAACACGUGGGUAACCUGCACUUGACUUUGGGAUAACUUCAGGAAACUGGGGCUAAUACCGGAAAGGAGCUCCCGCUGUAUGGUGGGGGUGGGAAGGUUUCGGCGGUUGGGGAUGGACUCGCGGCCUAUCGGCUUGUUGGUGUGGUAGUGGCUUACCAAGGCAUGGACGGGUAGCCGUCCUGGGAGGGUGACCUGACACAUUAGACUUGGGCUGCGACCCGGCCCACACUGGUAGGCAGGGGAGGAGAAUAUUGCACAAUGCGAGGAGGGCUGGUCUGGUCCCGCCGUGUGGGGGGUGAGGGGAUUGGGUUAGGAAUCUGCUUUCGCUUGUGACGAGGCGUUAAUGACGGUACUGGGUAAAGAAGCACCGGCUAACUCCGUG